AGUGAACGCUGGCGGUAGGCCUAACACAUGCAAGUCGAACGGCAGCACAGUAAGAGCUUGCUCUUACGGGUGGCGAGUGGCGGACGGGUGAGGAAUACAUCGGAAUCUACUUUUUCGUGGGGGAUAACGUAGGGAAACUUACGCUAAUACCGCAUACGACCUACGGGUGAAAGCAGGGGAUCUUCGGACCUUGCGCGAUUGAAUGAGCCGAUGUCGGAUUAGCUAGUUGGCGGGGUAAAGGCCCACCAAGGCGACGAUCCGUAGCUGGUCUGAGAGGAUGAUCGGCCACACUGGAACUGAGACACGGUCCAGACUCCUACGGGAGGCAGCAGUGGGGAAUAUUGGACAAUGGGCGCAAGCCUGAUCCAGCCAUACCGCGUGGGUGACGAAGGCCUUCGGGUUGUAAAGCCCUUUUGUUGGGAAAGAAAAGCAGCAGGUUAAUACCCCGCUGUUCUGACGGUACCCAAAGAAUAAGCACCGGCUAACUUCGUG
rnacentral:rRNA from 1 species